GAUUGAACGCUGGCGGCAGGCCUAACACAUGCAAGUCGAGCGGAUGACGGGAGCUUGCUCCUGGAUUCAGCGGCGGACGGGUGAGUAAUGCCUAGGAAUCUGCCUGGUAGUGGGGGAUAACGUCCGGAAACGGGCGCUAAUACCGCAUACGUCCUGAGGGAGAAAGUGGGGGAUCUUCGGACCUCACGCUAUCAGAUGAGCCUAGGUCGGAUUAGCUAGUUGGUGGGGUAAAGGCCUACCAAGGCGACGAUCCGUAACUGGUCUGAGAGGAUGAUCAGUCACACUGGGACUGAGACACGGUCCAGACUCCUACGGGAGGCAGCAGUGGGGAAUAUUGGACAAUGGGCGAAAGCCUGAUCCAGCCAUGCCGCGUGUGUGAAGAAGGUCUUCGGAUUGUAAAGCACUUUAAGUUGGGAGGAAGGGCAGUAAGUUAAUACCUUGCUGUUUUGACGUUACCAACAGAAUAAGCACCGGCUAACUUCGUG
rnacentral:rRNA from 1 species